rnacentral:rRNA from 1 species
UACAGAGGUCCCAAGCGUUGUUCGGAUUCACUGGGCGUAAAGGGUGCGUAGGUGGUGGGGUAAGUCGGGUGUGAAAGCCCCGGGCUCAACCUGGGAAUUGCAUUCGAUACUGGAUAGCUAGAGUUCGGCAGAGGGAAGCGGAAUUUCUGGUGUAGCAGUGAAAUGCGCAGAUAUCAGGAGGAACACCGGUGGUGUAGACGGCUCUCUGGACCGUAACUGACGCUGAGACACGAAAGCGUGGGUAGCAAACAGG